GACUCGGUAGCGGAUGGCCCGCGUCCGCUUAACAUGCACUAGUUGGAGACAAUACAUGUGGAAGCCGCCUGUUUGAAUCAGGCCCGAGUCC